AGUUAAAAAGCUUAAAUGAAAAGCAUAUGUUUUGAAAGCAUAAGACAGAGGUUUAAUCCCUCUAUUAACUU
rnacentral:tRNA from 1 species